AGAUUGAUGAUGACUCCAAAUAAACAUUCCUUGGAAAGCUGAACAAAAUGAGUGAAAACUCUAUACCGUCAUCCUCAUCAAACUGAGGUCC